UGACAGAUGGUGUGAUCUUCAGAGGC
rnacentral:piRNA from 1 species